GACGGAGGGUGCAAGCGUUGUUCGGAUUGACUGGGCGUAAAGGGCGUGUAGGCGGUCGGCCAAGUCUGAUGUGAAAGCCCGAGGCUCAGCCUCGGAAGUGCGUCGGAAACUAGUCGGCUGGAGCGCGAUAGAGGAGGGUGGAAUUCCUGGUGUAGCGGUGAAAUGCGUUGAUAUCGUUAGGAACUCCGGUGGCGAAAGCGGCGUGCUGGAUCUCUUCUGACGCUGAGGCUCGAAAGCUAGGGGAGCAAACGGG
rnacentral:rRNA from 1 species